UGAGGUGCAACCAAAACAGCUGUUAGACAUUGCAACAGGGAUAUUCUGGCAGGGUGUCUGUCUAGCAUUAGUUCUGAAUACGGUUGUGGUUUUGAUCACUAAAAUGGCUGUGACUUUUGGACUCUCUUUGAGUGUUUCUUGGAUUUGUUGCCUGCUAAUUGGAGGGAUAACGUGUUUUACCCUUCAAGGUGAUGCUUAUGGGCAUCCUGCCUGCACUGGACCUGAACCAACUAGAUCCCAAGCAAGUGUGGUGUCUGGUCCAAAUGCUAAAGCUACUGGCCACAAUACCCUGGCAAGUGUGACGCCGGGUCCAACUGCCAACCAUACCUCUGCAGAAGCGGCCCGCGCCUCAGCUGAAGCAACUGCCAACCAUGCCUCGGCAGAAGCGGCCGCCGGCCUCCGGACCUCUGCAGAAGCGGCCCGCGCCUCAG